UAGGCGUAAAUGAUGCGAGUUAAGUGUGGGGGCAUCUACGAGAUGGCCCUGUGCUGUAGGGUAGCCGUUAAACUCGCUGCCUGGGGAGUACGGUCGCAAGGCUGAAACUUAAAGGAAUUGGCGGGGGGAGCACAACAACGGGUGGAGCUUGCGGUUUAAUUGGACUCAACGCCGGAAAACUCAUCGGGAGCGACAGCAGUAUAAUUGCCAGGUUGAUGACCUUGCUUGACAAGCUGAGAGGAGGUGCAUGGCGUAGUCGUGU
rnacentral:rRNA from 1 species